rnacentral:lncRNA from 12 species
CGGCGGCCCCGGACGCGGCGGCUCGGUGAGUGAACGAGCGCUUCUCCGCCGUAUUUAGCCCAGGACUUUGGCCAAGACACAGAGGCUAACAGGCCCGCAGACGUCUUGAUUCUGCCGCGGGCGGUAAAAGUCCACUGGCCCAGAACGAGCACACUUGGGGAAAUUCAAAGCGCUACUGAAAUAGUAGACGUUACCGUCUUCGUCGGCCCUGUGGGCAUCACUACCAUUGCGGUUUCUUCUUUUGCGAAAAGUGGAUUCGUUCUUGGCACAGAAUGAUCGCAACCUUAUACCGAGCAUGCUCGGCGCCAGGCAUCGCUCUUAAUUGUCUGGGUGCACGGCCCGCCGGGGGGGGGGGAGGGGGGGGGCGGGGCUUUCAGUUCCCGCUGCGCCCACUGGGUGGCGCCGGCGCCGCGCCUUGUCCGGAGCUUGGUGCUGGCGGCGCCGGGCUGGGCUGAUCUGGGGAGUCCCACCUGCCACCGACUGAGGACGCAGGUGUCCAGCCCGGACCCGGACAGAGGCCUUCCCUUUGGGAGAGACUUUUUGGGGAUUCGCAUCUCACAGAGCAAGCCUCAAGGUCAUGGGCUUGGCCACAGACAACUGGAAUGGGGCCUCCCAGAGUCCUGUGGCAAAUGGUCCUCUUCUGACUUGACCCUUCCUCCACACAUGGGCAAUGAACCAUUUGCCCAGUUUGACUUUGGUUUUCUGCUUGCAAGAAGAGAAACCCAUGAGGCCACGGCACUGGAGCUUCCUAUGAACACCAGUCAGCCAGCAAGCAAGUGGACCUGGAACAAGCCCCUGAGGAUUUAUGGACAUCUCUAGUGUAUACCCCUUAGGGCGCAAAGCCACCUUCUGCUUCUUUGGCACAUGGCACAACAGCCGGGGUGCUCCCCUGUGCACAGCAGGGAGCUGAUAAGUGCUUAUUGUCUGCAGGUGUAUUAGGGAGCUGGCGAGCCACAUCAGAAUAACCCGUCCAGGGUAUUCCCAUCAAAUGCAGAUUCCACCUUCUGUUCCUAAAGAUUCUAAUUCAGGAAGAUGAGGAUGGGGCCUGGGAAUCUGCAUUUUUAACAAGCCCUCCCACCCCCCUUCACCCAGAGGGAUUCUGAGGCAUAGUGGACACUGGACCACACUUGGACAAAUGUUGGCCCAGGCUGUUAGGUUCUACUGUGGGACUGUGAGAAGUGUGGAGUCCACAGUCCCCUGUGCCUUUCAGAGCCUUGCCCCUGGCUGGUGGGGCUUCAGCCCCUCUGCCCCUUCAGCACCCCCCCCGCCCCCCCCACACACACACCUGAUUUUGCCUGUUUGUUCAUGUUUCCUGACCUCACCGGAAGGUAGAGCCCUACUCUUUCAGAAGGUAAGCUCUUCGUGAGCAUCAACCUGAGCUUUUAGGACUUCAAACCCUAAGUGCAGCGUGGGAUGAAUUCUGUGAGAAAUGAAAUUUUCAUUCUGUGGCCUUUCUUUGAGAACCUGCAUUUUGCACCCACUUCGUUUUCUUUCAAAUGGAGGAGUUUUGAUCUGAGCCUAAACCACAGCCACCCCUCCCACCCUCAGUUCUCCGAGCCUCCUGAACCCCAGAUAUUGGGGCCGUCGAUCACAAUUUCUGAUUUUUAGACUCUGCAUGGACUUGGAGGGGGGCAGCGCAGAUUUCUUUGUUUCUUUCUUGUGGAAAAUAAAUGAGAAAAUGCCCGCA